GAUGAACGCUAGCUACAGGCUUAACACAUGCAAGUCGAGGGGCAGCAUGGUCUUAGCUUGCUAAGGCCGAUGGCGACCGGCGCACGGGUGAGUAACGCGUAUCCAACCUGCCUUACACUCUUGGACAGCCUUCUGAAAGGGAGAUUAAUACAAGAUGUUAUCAUGAGUAAGCAUUUUCGCAUGAUUAAAGGUUUACCGGUGUAAGAUGGGGAUGCGUUCCAUUAGAUAGUAGGCGGGGUAACGGCCCACCUAGUCUUCGAUGGAUAGGGGUUCUGAGAGGAAGGUACCCCACAUUGGAACUGAGACACGGUCCAAACUCCUACGGGAGGCAGCAGUGAGGAAUAUUGGUCAAUGGACGAGAGUCUGAACCAGCCAAGUAGCGUGAAGGAUGAAGGUUCUAUGGAUUGUAAACUUCUUUUAUACGGGAAUAAACGGAUCCACGUGUGGAUUUUUGCAUGUACCGUAUGAAUAAGGAUCGGCUAACUCCGUGCCAGCAGCCGCGGUAAUACGGAGGAUCCGAGCGUUAUCCGGAUUUAUUGGGUUUAAAGGGAGCGUAGAUGGGUUGUUAAGUCAGUUGUGAAAGUUUGCGGCUCAACCGUAAAAUUGCAAUUGAUACUGGCAGUCUUGAGUACAGUUGAGGUAGGCGGAAUUCGUGGUGUAGCGGUGAAAUGCUUAGAUAUCACGAAGAACUCCGAUUGCGAAGGCAGCUUACUAACCUGUAACUGACAUUGAUGCUCGAAAGUGUGGGUAUCAAACAGGAUUUAGAUACCCUGGUAGUCCACACGGUAAACGAUGAAUACUCGCUGUAGGCGAUAUACAGUCUGCGGCCAAGCGAAAGCAUUAAGUAUUCCACCUGGGGAGUACGCCGGCAACGGUGAAACUCAAAGGAAUUGACGGGGGCCCGCACAAGCGGAGGAACAUGUGGUUUAAUUCGAUGAUACGCGAGGAACCUUACCCGGGCUUAAAUUGCAACCGAAUAUGGCGGAAACGCUAUAGCUAGCAAUAGCGGUUGUGAAGGUGCUGCAUGGUUGUCGUCAGCUCGUGCCGUGAGGUGUCGGCUUAAGUGCCAUAACGAGCGCAACCCUUGCCGAUAGUUACUAACAGGUCAUGCUGAGGACUCUGUCGGGACUGCCAUCGUAAGAUGUGAGGAAGGUGGGGAUGACGUCAAAUCAGCACGGCCCUUACGUCCGGGGCUACACACGUGUUACAAUGGGGGGUACAGAGGGCUGCUACCACGCAAGUGGAUGCCAAUCCCAAAAACCUCUCUCAGUUCGGAUUGAAGUCUGCAACCCGACUUCAUGAAGCUGGAUUCGCUAGUAAUCGCGCAUCAGCCACGGCGCGGUGAAUACGUUCCCGGGCCUUGUACACACCGCCCGUCAAGCCAUGGGAGCCGGGGGUACCUGAAGUGCGUAACCGCAAGGAGCGCCCUAGGGUAAAACU
rnacentral:rRNA from 1 species